rnacentral:rRNA from 1 species
UGGGGAAUAUUGCACAAUGGGCGAAAGCCUGAUGCAGCAACGCCGCGUGAGUGAUGAAGGCCUUCGGGUUGUAAAGCUCUGUCUUUUGGGACGAUAAUGACGGUACCAAAGGAGGAAGCCACGGCUAACUACGUGCCAGCAGCCGCGGUAAUACGUAGGUGGCAAGCGUUGUCCGGAUUUACUGGGCGUAAAGGAUGCGUAGGCGGAUUUUUAAGUGAGAUGUGAAAUACCCGGGCUUAACUUGGGUGCUGCAUUUCAAACUGGGAAUCUAGAGUGCGGGAGAGGAGAAUGGAAUUCCUAGUGUAGCGGUGAAAUGCAUAGAGAUUAGGAAGAACACCAGUGGCGAAGGCGAUUCUCUGGACCGUAACUGACGCUGAGGCAUGAAAGCGUGGGUAGCAAACAGGAUUAGAUACCCUGGUAGUCCACGCCGUAAACGAUGAGUACUAGGUGUAGGAGGUAUCGACCCCUUCUGUGCCGCAGUUAACACAAUCAAGUACUCCGCCUGGGAAGUACGAUCGCAAGAUUAAAACUUAAAGGAAUUGACGGGGGUCAUAGCUG